rnacentral:rRNA from 1 species
GUCCCAGCCGUAAACGAUGGACACUAGGUGUUGGUGGUAUCAACCCCGCCAGUGCCGUAGCUAACGCAUUAAGUGUCCCGCCUGGGGAGUACGGCCGCAAGGCUAAAACUCAAAGGAAUUGACGGGGGCCCGCACAAGCAGCGGAGCGUGGGGUUUAAUUCGAUGCGACGCGAAGAACCUUACCAAGGCUUGACAUGACCAGGAAGUCGGCGGAAACGUCGGCGCCCCGCAAGGGGCCUGGCCACAGGUGUUGCAUGGCUGUCGU